AAAGAGCUUUUCCUCUGAAAAAAUUUCAAUGCCAGUUCCUCUUAACAAAAUAGGCCGAAAACAUGUCCUUGAGGAUGGGAAAGCUAAAACGAUUCCCGGUCCUCGGGGGGCCUCAGGAGGUGUCACUAGGCGUUCAUUGCAUAAACUGAAGAACCUCAGGUGAGCCUUUGAUGUGCUUGAUCCUCUCUUGUGCCUUAGUUUCUCCAAAUGGCAGAGGCAUCUCAUUUUGGUGGGGACUGACAAGUAUGGGGGCUCCAUUGAGGGGCCUCCUGAAGAUAGGGGCACACAUGGGGUGGCCUGAGGCUCACCGUUCGUGUUCAUUCAGAAUCGUCCUGCACCAAGUCAUUUGGUGGAACUAACUGGAGAGAGAAGGUCUUCAGAAAUCAGUUCAUGCUGGGGCCGGGGUGGGGGGAGUACAAGUACAAUAAAUGGAAGGUGACCCUUGCAUGCAGGGUAGAGAGAUGACGGGUGUGCUGUAGCAUCCUCCCCAGUCCCCCGAGCGUGGCUGCUCAGAACACGGACCAUCGGGGCCAGCAGGACUUAGAAGGGCCUGCAGGGCCUGCUGCUCUAAAGCUGCUGAGGGCAAUGUGUGAACGUGGGGGCCUAGGGCAGGACAUGUAGCAGGCAAGGGUGUGGGGCCGGUGAUGGGCAGAGUUUAUAAGAGGAUUCAAGGCUCUAGCAAACCUUUCUACAGGACAGCUCCAUCAAAAGGACACUCUGAAACCCGUUUAAAUGUCACCGCAUGUGAUCCUGCAGCAUACAGGGAGGAUUUCUGGACUUUUCACUGCUAGUGAUUCGGGUUUGCAGCGAGUUAUGUAUUGGUGAUCGGUAACCUAAACCCUCUGGGGGCUGUAGCUGAUACGUUUUAGGACACAAUCUCAUAGAAUUAAAUCUGCAGAGAAUGGUUCAAGGGUGUAGGAGUUAGAAAAUAUUUUUUGCCUAAAACUAAGCAAACUACCGAAGACCUGGAAUGGAAGCAUGUGAAAUAUAAAAUUAGGGUAAUGCUUAUAGAAAUACAUCCCUUUAAAUAUGUACUGUAUGGUUUCAUUAGCUGACUUGAGGAGGGGGCAUCAUGGAAUCUUUUUCCUGGGAAAUUCACGUCUAAUGGGAAAUAUGCUGUUUACCAGGAGUUUGUUUUACACACAACCUUGAAUGAAUGCGUCUGUGGCUUAAAGUCAGGCAGGCCCUUACUGGUUUCCUGCUGGAGGCAGUCAGAUUGGUUUAUUUCUAAAUUCCUCUGGUCUGAGGUUACCUGAUGCUGACCAGACUCCUCUAUCCUUCCUGAAGGCUCUCAGCUGAGUUAAUGCCACCAUCUGUGACCUUGCCCUUUGAGUGAUUGUAUUUCCAUUCCCUCUUCUUUUUAUCAUUCUUUUGAGAUAGUUCUGGUGAUAAACUCGGAGCAAUUCAGCAUACAAAUUGCAUUUGCCUUUUUCACUGCUCCUCUGAUGGAAGUUAAUUUGCUCAUUUUAAUUCUAAAUCUCAUCUUCAUGGCAAGUUGGGCCAGUGGCCUUUGCACUCCAGGUUUGUUUACCAGUUUCGUAACCACAUUUGGCAAAUCUGAGCAAAUAGAAAUGGCUCUUUUCCCCUUAUUCGUUCUCGCUAUUGCUCAUGCUUUCCCAACUUUUCUUUACACUUGGAGACGACUGCAUCUUACAAGAACUGGGCUGGUUGGCAAAAUAGGCUUGCCAAUAGCUCAGUCCCUCCCAUAAUGCUUUGGUUUUGAGAGUUGGGAAACUCUGAGGACUUAAGGGAACCAAACUCAGGAAUCCCACAGUUGGCUGCGCUGUGCCAUAGGGGCUGGGCAUAGGACCAGUCUGUAGCUGAGCGAAGUAGAUGCGUCUGGGUUUGAGUUGUGUCACGUAAUGAAAUGUAAAUCAGCCCUAAAUAAUCCAAACACUUCCUUUUUUUUUUUUUUUUUUUUUAAUAGGAACUUUCUGAAGAAAAGUGGUGUGUAAAACAUUUGAUAUUUAAGACAAUAAAGUUUUUAUCAUAAGA